GACGUAGGGCGCGAGCGUUGUCCGGAUUUAUUGGGCGUAAAGAGCUCGUAGGCGGUUUGUCGCGUCGGGAGUGAAAACCUCGGGCUUAACUCGGGGCUUGCUUUCGAUACGGGCAGACUGGAGGUAUGCAGGGGAGAACGGAAUUCCUGGUGUAGCGGUGAAAUGCGCAGAUAUCAGGAGGAACACCGGUGGCGAAGGCGGUUCUCUGGGCAUGACCUGACGCUGAGGAGCGAAAGUGUGGGGAGCGAACAGG
rnacentral:rRNA from 1 species